AGAUCAUUCAGAAAUGAUUGAAGAAUUAACUAAAAUGUUAACAGAAUUAGGUUUAGAGCCUAAAGAUUCCAAGAAAAAGUCAAUAGCUCCUUUAACUAAGGAUCUAACUUUUAAAGAAGAAUUGGAAAACAGAUUAAAAAAUCUGAGUAUAGCCCCUUUGAACAAAAAAUCAGACAGUUCAGAAUAUGAAUCUGAAGCAGAAUCAUCUAAUGAAGAUGAAAUUAAUAUGAUUGAAACAGGGUUAAAACAAUCUGAACCCUUAGAAAUAAACCGAAUAGUUUGCCCUAA
rnacentral:misc_RNA from 1 species